rnacentral:rRNA from 1 species
GAUGAACGCUGGCGGCGUGCCUAAUACAUGCAAGUCGAGCGGAAAGGCCUCUUCGGAGGUACUCGAGCGGCGGACGGCUGAGUAACGCGUAGGAACGUACCCCAAAGUGAGGGAUAACUGCUCGAAAGAGUAGCUAAUACCGCAUGUGGUCUAAGGAUUAAAGCUUCGGCGCUUUGGGAACGGCCUGCGUAAGAUUAGCUUGUUGGUGAGGUAACGGCUCACCAAGGCGACGAUCUUUAGCUGGUCUGAGAGGAUGAUCAGCCAGACUGGGACUGAGAACGGCCCAGACUCCUACGGGAGGCAGCAGUAGGGAAUUUUCCACAAUGGGCGAAAGCCUGAUGGAGCAACGCCGCGUGCAGGAUGAAUGCCUUCGGGUUGUAAACUGCUUUAUAUGUGACGAUUAUGACGGUAGCAUAUGAAUAAGGAUCGGCUAAUUCCGUGCCAGCAGCCGCGGU